CUUCACAACUGGCUGCUUUACUGUUCACCUCGCAGGGGUACAGCAUCCAGUUGUGGCGGA
rnacentral:pre_miRNA from 1 species